rnacentral:tRNA from 1 species
AGGGGUAUAGCUCAAGUGGUAGAGCACAUGCUUAGCCAUGCGCAAGAUCCUGGGUUCAAUCCCCAGUACCUCCU